GACGAACGCUGGCGGCGUGCUUAGCACAUGCAAGUCGAACGGAAAGGCCCUGCUUUUGUGGGGUGCUCGAGUGGCGAACGGGUGAGUAACACGUGAGUAACCUGCCCUUGACCUUGGGAUAACUUCAGGAAACUGGGGCUAAUACCGGAUAGGAGCUCCUGCUGCAUGGUGGGGGUUGGAAAGUUUCGGCGGUUGGGGAUGGACUCGCGGCUUAUCAGCUUGUUGGUGGGGUAGUGGCUUACCAAGGCUUUGACGGGUAGCCGGCCUGGGAGGGUGACCGGCCACAUUGGGACUGAGAUACGGCCCAGACUCCUACGGGAGGCAGCAGUGGGGAAUAUUGCACAAUGGGCGGAAGCCUGAUGCAGCAACGCCGCGUGCGGGAUGACGGCCUUCGGGUUGUAAACCGCUUUCGCCUGUGACGAAGCGUGAGUGACGGUAAUGGGUAAAGAAGCACCGGCUAACUACGUG
rnacentral:rRNA from 1 species